rnacentral:rRNA from 1 species
GAUGAACGCUGGCGGCGUGCCUAAUACAUGCAAGUCGAGCGAACAGAUGAGGAGCUUGCUCCUCUGACGUUAGCGGCGGACGGGUGAGUAACACGUGGAUAACCUACCUAUAAGACUGGGAUAACUUCGGGAAACCGGAGCUAAUACCGGAUAAUAUAUUGAACCGCAUGGUUCAAUAGUGAAAGACGGUUUUGCUGUAACUUAUAGAUGGAUCCGCGCCGCAUUAGCUAGUUGGUAAGGUAACGGCUUACCAAGGCAACGAUGCGUAGCCUACCUGAGAGGGUGAUCGGACACACUGGAACUGAGACACGGUCCAGACUCCUACGGGAGGCAGCAGUAGGGAAUCUUCCGCAAUGGGCGCAAGCCUGACAGAGCAACACCGCGUGAGUGAUGAAGGUCUUCGGAUCGUAAAACUCUGUUAUUAGGGAAGAACAAAUGUGUAAGUAACUAUGCACGUCUUGACGGUACCUAAUCAGAAAGCCACGGCUAACUACGUG